rnacentral:tRNA from 1 species
GCGCGCUUAGCUCAGUGGUAGAGCACUUCCUUCACACGGAAGGGGUCGCAGGUUCGAACCCUGCAGCGCGCACCA